ACGAACGCUGGCGGCGUGCUUAACACAUGCAAGUCGAACGGAAAGGCCCUGCUUUUGUGGGGUGCUCGAGUGGCGAACGGGUGAGUAACACGUGAGUAACCUGCCCUUGACUUUGGGAUAACUUCAGGAAACUGGGGCUAAUACCGGAUAGGAGCUCCUGCUGCAUGGUGGGGGUUGGAAAGUUUCGGUGGUUGGGGAUGGACUCGCGGCUUAUCAGCUUGUUGGUGGGGUAGUGGCUUACCAAGGCUUUGACGGGUAGCCGGCCUGAGAGGGUGACCGGCCACAUUGGGACUGAGAUACGGCCUAGACUCCUACGGGAGGCAGCAGUGGGGAAUAUUGCACAAUGGGCGGAAGCCUGAUGCAGCAACGCCGCGUGCGGGAUGACGGCCUUCGGGUUGUAAACCGCUUUCGCCUGUGACGAAGCGUGAGUGACGGUAAUGGGUAAAGAAGCACCGGCUAACUACGUG
rnacentral:rRNA from 1 species